rnacentral:rRNA from 1 species
UACGGGGGGGGCAAGCGUUGUUCGGAAUUACUGGGCGUAAAGGGCUCGUAGGCGGCCAACUAAGUCAGACGUGAAAUCCCUCGGCUUAACCGGGGAACUGCCUCUGAUACUGGAUGGCUUGAGAUUGGGAGAGGGAUGCGGAAUUCCAGGUGUAGCGGUGAAAUGCGUAGAUAUCUGGAGGAACACCGGUGGCGAAGGCGGCAUCCUGGACCAACACUGACGCUGAGGAGCGAAAGCCAGGGGAGCAUACGGG